AUUGAACGCUGGCGGCAGGCCUAACACAUGCAAGUCGAGCGGAUGAAGGGAGCUUGCUCCUGGAUUCAGCGGCGGACGGGUGAGUAAUGCCUAGGAAUCUGCCUGGUAGUGGGGGAUAACGUCCGGAAACGGGCGCUGAUACCGCAUACGUCCUGAGGGAGAAAGUGGGGGAUCUUCGGACCUCACGCUAUCAGAUGAGCCUAGGUCGGAUUAGCUAGUUGGUGGGGUAAAGGCCUACCAAGGCGACGAUCCGUAACUGGUCUGAGAGGAUGAUCAGUCACACUGGAACUGAGACACGGUCCAGACUCCUACGGGAGGCAGCAGUGGGGAAUAUUGGACAAUGGGCGAAAGCCUGAUCCAGCCGUGCCGCGUGUGUGAAGAAGGUCUUCGGAUUGUAAAGCACUUUAAGUUGGGAGGAAGGGCAGUAAGUUAAUACCUUGCUGUUUUGACGUUACCAACAGAAUAAGCACCGGCUAACUUCGUG
rnacentral:rRNA from 1 species